GCAGCAUCAUCAAGAUUCCCA
rnacentral:miRNA from 3 species